UCACAGGACCUUGAGAGGGAAUAUCCUGCGAGAACGACGUUAGCGUGAGUCAGUUGUCCUGUUCUUCUUCUGUGUUCCUUUGACUUGGACACUCUUUCCCAUCUGGUCUUCUAAUGUCAACAAUGAAGAAAAGACCUGUACACUCAAGCCUCAGGAUGGUCUGAAGCUCACAGUGUUUUUCUCUCCAUGCAGGCAGAGGAACCCUCCAAGAAAAAAGGAACCUGCUGCACGGCUGGGAUGGAGAGCUCUGGUCAAUUCCCCCACCUGCUGCUCCCCUGACAGACUGUUCCAGUGUCAGAGCCAGUGUGAGUGUGAGCAGCAAUGGACUCUUGACACACGCAGAUGUUGCGUUGAGAAGAAUAUACCUUGCUGGAAAAGUUCUCCUACCAAUCCUCAGAUGAGGAGGAGCCACCACAGGGCUUGAUUCCGUGCUUGGGGCAGAAUCACUUCACUGCCAAGUCACAGGACCUUGAGAGGGAAUAUCCUGCGAGAACGACGUUAGCGUGAGUCAGUUGUCCUGUUCUUCUUCUGUGUUCCUUUGACUUGGACACUCUUUCCCAUCUGGU
rnacentral:lncRNA from 13 species